UACGUAGGGGGCUAGCGUUGUCCGGAAUCAUUGGGCGUAAAGCGCACGUAGGCGGCUUUGUAAGUUAGAGGUGAAAGCCCGGAGCUCAACUCCGGAACUGCCUUUAAGACUGCAUCGCUUGAAUCCAGGAGAGGUGAGUGGAAUUUCCGGUGUAGCGGUGAAAUGCGUAGAUAUCGGAAGGAACAUCAGUGGCGAAAGCGACUUCCUGGACCAAUACUGACGCUCAUGUGCGAAAGCGUGGGGAGCAAACAGG
rnacentral:rRNA from 1 species